UAUUAUUUUCUGAUUCUAGACUUAUUCAGCAAUUAGACCUAAUUGCCAGCAGACUGUUCCAAUCUUAAUACUGUUCAAACAUUUGAUGAAAACUGUAGGAGGAGAGCAAAGGCCAUCUUACAAGUAUUCAAGAAGCAACAAGACUUUCUUGGGAAAAGAAAACUUAUGUCAUGAGCACAGCCACAAUCAUCUGUAUUUCCAGGUCAGACAUCACUAAUUGACUACUGCACACUUUACUUCCGAGUAAGUGGCUUUGAAGAACAGAAAAAAGGCUGUGCUCUCAAUACACUUCAAGAGAUGCAAAAUCAGAUGAUGACAGAGGAGUGUACAGGUGAUGGAAAUGAGUGGAGCUGGAAGGUUGAAAGACAACAGA